UACGGAGGGAGCUAGCGUUGUUCGGAAUUACUGGGCGUAAAGCGCACGUAGGCGGCCGUUCCAGUCAGGGGUGAAAGCCCGGGGCUCAACCCCGGAAUAGCCUUUGAAACUGCAAGGCUUGAAUCUGAGAGAGGUCAGUGGAAUUCCGAGUGUAGAGGUGAAAUUCGCAGAUAUUCGGAGGAACACCAGUGGCGAAGGCGACUCACUGGCUAGAUACUGACGCUGAGGUGCGAAAUCGUGGGGAGCAAACAGG
rnacentral:rRNA from 1 species